rnacentral:rRNA from 1 species
CCUACGGGGGGCAGCAGUGGGGAAUAUUGGACAAUGGGCGAAAGCCUGAUCCAGCCAUGCCGCGUGUGUGAAGAAGGCCUUCGGGUUGUAAAGCACUUUCAGUGGGGAAGAAAGCCUUGGGGCUAAUACCCUCGAGGAAGGACAUCACCCACAGAAGAAGCACCGGCUAACUCCGUGCCAGCAGCCGCGGUAAUACGGAGGGUGCGAGCGUUAAUCGGAAUUACUGGGCGUAAAGCGCGCGUAGGCGGUCUGAUAAGCCGGUUGUGAAAGCCCCGGGCUCAACCUGGGAACGGCAUCCGGAACUGGCAGGCUAGAGUGCAGGAGAGGAAGGUAGAAUUCCCGGUGUAGCGGUGAAAUGCGUAGAGAUCGGGAGGAAUACCAGUGGCGAAGGCGGCCUUCUGGACUGACACUGACGCUGAGGUGCGAAAGCGUGGGUAGCAAACAGGAUUAGAUACCCGUGUAGUC